rnacentral:rRNA from 1 species
UACAGAGGGUGCAAGCGUUGCUCGGAUUUACUGGGCGUAAAGCGUACGCAGACGGUGAGAAAGGUCGGAUGUGAAAGCCCCGGGCUCAACCCGGGAACUGCAUCCGAAACCAUCUCGCUCGAGUGUGGGAGAGGGAAGCGGAAUUCCUGGUGUAGCGGUGAAAUGCGCAGAUAUCGGGAGGAACACCAAUUGCGAAGGCAGCUUGCUGGGACGGUACUGACGCUGAGGCGCGAAAGCGUGGGGAGCAAACGGG